rnacentral:tRNA from 1 species
GUAGGCAUAGUUUAACGAAAACGCCAGAUUGUGAUUCUGGAGAUAGUGGUUAAACCCCUCUUGCCCACC